GGGGGUAUAGCUUAAUUUGGUAGAGCGUAUGUUUUGCAUACAUAAGGCUAGCGGUUCAAGUCCGCUUAUCUCCA
rnacentral:tRNA from 1 species